GACAGAGGGUGCAAACGUUGUUCGGAUUUACUGGGCGUAAAGCGCGUGUAGGCGGCUUCGUAAGUUGGAUGUGAAAUCCCACGGCUCAACCGUGGACGUGCAUCCAAAACUACGUCGCUGGAGUCUCGGAGAGGAAGGUGGAAUGCUUGGUGUAGAGGUGAAAUGCGUAGAUAUCUGGAGGAACACCGGUGGCGAAGGCGGCGUUCUGGACUGCAACUGACACUGAGGAACGAAAGCCAGGGGAGCAAACGGG
rnacentral:rRNA from 1 species